UACGAAGGGGGCUAGCGUUGCUCGGAAUCACUGGGCGUAAAGGGUGCGUAGGCGGGUCUUUAAGUCAGGGGUGAAAUCCUGGAGCUCAACUCCAGAACUGCCUUUGAUACUGAAGAUCUUGAGUUCGGGAGAGGUGAGUGGAACUGCGAGUGUAGAGGUGAAAUUCGUAGAUAUUCGGAAGAACACCGGUGGCGAAGGCGACCUUCUGGGCCGCAAC
rnacentral:rRNA from 1 species